rnacentral:rRNA from 1 species
AGAGUUUGAUCCUGGCUCAGGAUGAACGCUAGCGGCAGGCCUAACACAUGCAAGUCGAGGGAGAAGCCUUCGGGCUGAAACCGGCGCACGGGUGCGUAACGCGUAUACAAUCUGCCUUUCACAUAGGGAUAGCCCGAAGAAAUUUGGAUUAAUACCUAAUGGUAUAUAAGAGCGGCAUCGUUUUUAUAUUAAAGCUACGGUGGUGAAAGAUGAGUAUGCGUUCUAUUAGCUAGUUGGAGAGGUAACGGCUCCCCAAGGCGACGAUAGAUAGGGGUUCUGAGAGGGAUGUCCCCCACACUGGUACUGAGAUACGGACCAGACUCCUACGGGAGGCAGCAGUGAGGAAUAUUGGACAAUGGUCGGAAGACUGAUCCAGCCAUGCCGCGUGCAGGAUGACGGUCCUAUGGAUUGUAAACUGCUUUUGUAAGGGAAGAAUAAGGAGUACGCGUACUUUGAUGACGGUACCUUAUGAAUAAGCAUCGGCUAACUCCGUGCCAGCAGCCGCGGUAAUACGGAGGAUGCGAGCGUUAUCCGGAAUCAUUGGGUUUAAAGGGUCUGUAGGCGGGCUGGUAAGUCAGAGGUGAAAGCGCUUAGCUCAACUAAGCAACUGCCUUUGAAACUGCUGGUCUUGAAUGGUUGUGAAGUAGUUGGAAUGUGUAGUGUAGCGGUGAAAUGCUUAGAUAUUACACAGAACACCGAUAGCGAAGGCAUAUUACUAACAAUUUAUUGACGCUGAUGGACGAAAGCGUGGGGAGCGAACAGGAUUAGAUACCCUGGUAGUCCACGCU